UUUAAUUCUAGUGGCGGACGGGUGAGUAACGCGUGGGUAACCUGCCUCAUACAGGGGGAUAACAGUUAGAAAUGACUGCUAAUACCGCAUAAGACCACGGUACCGCAUGGUACAGUGGUAAAAACUCCGGUGGUAUGAGAUGGACUCGCGUCUGAUUAGGUAGUUGGUGGGGUAACGGCCUACCAAGCCGACGAUCGGUAGCCGGACUGAGAGGUUGAACGGCCACAUUGGGACUGAGACACGGCCCAGACUCCUACGGGAGGCAGCAGUGGGGAAUAUUGCACAAUGGGGGAAACCCUGAUGCAGCGACGCCGCGUGGAGGAAGAAGGUCUUCGGAUUGUAAACUCCUGUUGUUGAGGAAGAUAAUGACGGUACUCAACAAGGAAGUGACGGCUAACUACGUGCCAGCAGCCGCGGUAAAACGUAGGUCACAAGCGUUGUCCGGAAUUACUGGGUGUAAAGGGAGCGCAGGCGGGAGAACAAGUUGGAAGUGAAAUCCAUGGGCUCAACCCAUGAACUGCUUUCAAAACUGUUUUUCUUGAGUAGUGCAGAGGUAGGCGGAAUUCCCGGUGUAGCGGUGGAAUGCGUAGAUAUCGGGAGGAACACCAGUGGCGAAGGCGGCCUACUGGGCACCAACUGACGCUGAGGCUCGAAAGUGUGGGUAGCAAACAGGAUUAGAUACCCUGGUAGUCCACACCGUAAACGAUGAUUACUAGGUGGUGGAAGAUUGACCCCUUCUAGGCCCCCAUUACACAAUAAGUAAUCCACCCUGGGGAGUUCGGCCGCAAGGUUGAAACUCAAAGGAAUUGCCGGGGGCCCGCUCAAGCAGUGGAGUAUGUGGUUUAAUUCGACGCAACGCGAAGAACCUUACCAAGUCUUGACAUCCCUUGGCGAACAUAGAAAUAUGUUUUCUCUUCGGAGCAAGGAGACAGGUGGUGCAUGGUUGUCGUCAGCUCGUGUCGUGAGAUGUUGGGUUAAGUCCCGCAACGAGCGCAACCCUUAUGGUCAGUUACUACGCAAGAGGACUCUGGCCAGACUGCCGUUGACAAAACGGAGGAAGGUGGGGAUGACGUCAAAUCAUCAUGCCCUUUAUGACUUGGGCUACACACGUACUACAAUGGCGUUAAACAAAGAGAAGCAAGACCGCGAGGUGGAGCAAAACUCAGAAACAACGUCCCAGUUCGGACUGCAGGCUGCAACUCGCCUGCACGAAGUCGGAAUUGCUAGUAAUCGUGGAUCAGCAUGCCACGGUGAAUACGUUCCCGGGCCUUGUACACAAAGCCCGUCA
rnacentral:rRNA from 1 species